GUGCUUGCUUUGGCAGCACACAUACUAAACUUGGAAUGAUACAGAGAAGAUUAGCAUGGCCCCUGCGCAAGGAUGACGUGCAAAUUUGUGAUGCUCUCCAUACUUUU
ensembl:snRNA U6 U6 spliceosomal RNA